rnacentral:rRNA from 1 species
GAUGAACGCUGGCGGCGUGCCUAAUACAUGCAAGUCGAGCGAACGGACGAGAAGCUUGCUUCUCUGAUGUUAGCGGCGGACGGGUGAGUAACACGUGGAUAACCUACCUAUAAGACUGGGAUAACUUCGGGAAACCGGAGCUAGUACCGGAUAAUAUUUUGAACCGCAUGGUUCAAAAGUGAAAGGCGGUCUUGCUGUCACUUAUAGAUGGAUCCGCGCUGCAUUAGCUAGUUGGUAAGGUAACGGCUUACCAAGGCAACGAUGCAUAGCCGACCUGAGAGGGUGAUCGGCCACACUGGAACUGAGACACGGUCCAGACUCCUACGGGAGGCAGCAGUAGGGAAUCUUCCGCAAUGGGCGAAAGCCUGACGGAGCAACGCCGCGUGAGUGAUGAAGGUCUUCGGAUCGUAAAACUCUGUUAUUAGGGAAGAACAUAUGUGUAAGUAACUGUGCACAUCUUGACGGUACCUAAUCAGAAAGCCACGGCUAACUACGUG